rnacentral:lncRNA from 10 species
UUUACAGAAGUAAAUAUGAUUAUGUGAAACUCAUGUCCCCAGCAAGGAAGGAUUACUGCUCAGCUGUAGAGAUGUAUUCAGCAGACGGCCUCUAGCUGAUAACCCUUCAGGAUCUGUGAAGAUGCAGAGAGCUGCCCCAGCUGCAGUCACGUCCUGUCCAGGGCAGCCCAUCUCUGGAGACUGAGCAAGGAAGGAGAACUGGAAUGUUUGUGAGCAGCUCAAUGGACUACUGAAAUGAGUAAGCCCAACAGAAAGAACAGGCUGCACUCUCCCUUUCUCUCUUCUGGCUUCAGAGCCAGUUCAGGCCUAAGAACUGUAACGUGAUUGAUAAAUGGGUUGACCAGCCCAUGGCACAGGCAAAGCACCAAAUGAGGUCUCGGAGGGAUCGAUGCAGGAAGCAGGCAGUGAAGGCAGAGAGAGAAGAGCAAAGAGAAGAACCAGAAAGAAAUAAAAAAACCUAACAGUUGGCCAUCUUUCAUGUAAGGGCAGACAUCUGUCCAGAUUUCAAAUAGUGUAACUCCAGGGGAGGAGUUCCCAACCAGCCUGUGCUGGUGCCAUUUGGUUGAAUCAUAGUGGAACUCAUUGGUUUACCUAUGUCUUGGAUGCUUUUCUGCUUCAAUGAUAAAGUUGAGUUGUUGUGAAAGAGAGCCUAAGGCCCAUAAUGCCUGAAAUUUGUAUGAAAUCUAUUAUGACUUUUUAUUAAAAACAUAGGCCCUUUUCCAGAACAAUCCAUGUUACAAGGAUAUUUUUUCCCAUUCAUCAGAUUAAACUCACUUCUGUGGGUCACUCUUGGGUUCUCUGGAGCAGCUGUAGAGUCAUCUUGUCACCAUGGUACUACUAGCAUGGUACCGAGACAAAGAUUCUCCAACAUGCAAAGUUGUUAAAG